rnacentral:rRNA from 1 species
UGUGUAGGCGGUUCUCUAAGUUUGGUGUGAAAUCUCCCGGCUCAACCGGGAGGGUGCGCCGAAAACUGGGGGACUAGAGUGCGGGAUGGGAGAGUAGAAUUCCUGGUGUAGCGGUGAAAUGCGUAGAUAUCAGGAGGAAUACCGGUGGUGUAGACGGCUCUCUGGACCGCAACUGACGCUGAGACACGAAAGCGUGGGUAGCAAACAGGAUUAGAUACCCUGGUAGUCCACGCCCUAAACGAUGCAUAUUUGGUGUAGGUCAUUCAGUUGAUCUGUGCCGGAGCUAACGCGUUAAAUAUGCCGCCUGGGGAGUACAGUCGCAAGGCUGAA